rnacentral:lncRNA from 1 species
AAAAAAGUUUAGAGGUUACCAAAGAAAAUUUUCUCAGCAAUUUUUACUUUUUGUAGGCAAACCUCUACAGCAUUCCUUUUCUAGCAGUUCCCUUUUUCGAUCGUCCUAGACUUCCUCUUCGAUUCCUGAUCAAAUAAUACCAAAAAAAAAAACCAAAAAUUAGUAAGAGAGAAGAAGGAGAUAGGGAAAGUAAAAAUAGAAAAUAUUUUUAUUUUAUUUUAGAUAUAUAUAUUUUUUGAAAGUUUUUUUUUAUGAAAAGAAAAACAACUAUGCUAGCAAUUUCCGGCAACGGCGCCAAAAAUUGAUAGUCAAUUUUAAAGACCACGCAGUAGCACGUAUCUGGUAGGAUAGUGAUUGCGGGUAUCGAUCCACAGGGAUUGAGGUACAAUUGUUUUCUUAAAAAUAUUUGAAAAAGAAAAUUUGUGAAGACUAUUAAACUAAGCAAUUUAAUAAGAAAUGCAAUUAAAAUGAUAUCAGUUUGAGGAAACCUAGGGCAAGAAAUUUACCACUAACAAAGCAACAAGGAUUAAUUAUAUUUUAAUUUAUUCUUGGAUUAACAUGCAAAUUGGCUACAAGCCUAAUAAGCAUUCAAAGAAAAUCUCACAAAAGUAAUUUAGGAACAUCCAUCUUCGGUUGGCAUGAAAUGUCUACCCUAAACUAAUGUGGCAGGACACUGCAUCUUUCCUAAGCAUGGGUGAUCUUCUAUUAACUUAGUGAUCAUGAAGAACAGUUGUAUAAAUGUCAUACUUAAAAUCAUAAAAAUUAAAUAUGAGAUAAAGGAAAAUAUUCAUUAAAAGCAUUGAGUUCAUACAACUCGAAGAACAUAAAAUUAAAGAUACAAAACCCUUGGCCCUUUGUUAGGGCUGCAUCCAGCCCUAAUGAAGAGAUCAACCUUCCAUGGUAUGGGAGGUAGCAGCAACGACGCAGAAGGUCUUCAUCAUGACUGGGUUCCUCCCUUCUUCGUCUUCCCUCUCAGACUAAUCUCAACACGAACUAAAUAAGAAUCAAACUCCCUUUCUCAUAUAUUUUUUUCUUUCCGUGGGGAGUUAUUCCCACAAUACCCAAACUAUUAUCUCUCCCUUUUUACUUCGGUGAGAACUCAGCCUCUCCAAGCUUCAUGGGAUCAACCCCGGUGGGGAAGAGGAGGAAUGAAUUCCUGAGAAGAACUCUCCUCCUCUUAUAGGCUCAGCAUCCCCUCUCUCUCUUCCUCUCUGGUUGUUCCGAUAAGGAUGAAGACGUGAGCUGAUACGGGCGUUGGAAGAGGCUGAGCUAGGAAGCUUGAUCCGCGGGCUGAUCUUGAAGCAAGGGAGAAGCUUGAACAUGGCGGACGGCUGGGAUGCUGUUCCGGAAGAUGAGAUUCCGCUGGGAGUAAGAUCUUUGGAAUUAAUCGUGGCUUUGUUUUGUUGGGGAUGAGGAUGACUCCAUGGGAUCAAGCCAGAAGAUGGGAUUUGAGUUUAUCCCGUGGAAUUGGAGGCUGUGAGGAAUCCGUUGGUGAGAGCUGGAUGCAGGAGGAUGUGGAUGAUGCGGGAUGAACAUGUGAGCUUCGUCUGUGGAGCGAGAUGGCUAGGAGAUGAUCUGGAAGGGCCUUGAAUCGCGGACAGUUGCUAGCUUCCAGAUGCAAGGAAGACGGGUUGCUAUGUUCAAUGCAUGGGUCCAAUCCGCACGUGACUGGGAGGGAGCUAGGAUGCGGGAUGAACGGCUGAAGCUAAGAUGCUAUCUGGCUGGGAUGUGGCUGAGAGAAAAUUCUGUUUCAAAGCAGGGGAAGAUGUGGAUUGUGUGAGGCUUGGGAGGAGCUGGAACUUAUCCAUGGGAAUGGAACCAAUCCGGGCUGGCUACGGGAUCAGGAUGAAACGACGUCGUGGAUGAAAUGAGCUGGGCGAUGGAGUCGGAUCCAUGCGGACAGUGGAUGGAUGCUGCUAGUUUGAGCCGUGAUAAGAUGAUAUGAGCUGGGAGCAGGGGAUUUUGUUCGGAUAAGGAUGGAAGAGAGAGCUAGAAUCGGCUGGGAGUUGAUUUUGCGAACGGAGAGAAGUUUGGGGUUGUGUUUGGAGAUGGGAUAAGGAUGAGGAUGGGUUGGUUGUUCUUUGGAUGUGGAAGGAGUUGGAUUUGGCUGGGAGCGCAGGGGAUAAUGUUCACGGUUGAAGGAAGAUGUCGGAGAAUACCAGAACGGGAAGAUAAGCGUGGGAUCGAGAUAGAAAGAGAGCUGAGAUCGCCACCAAGGUGGUAGCCCAGUUGGAACGGGGUGUUUGCUUCCAACCAAGUGGUUCCAGGUUCGAAACGCACGGACGUCGAUUAAAUUCGGAGACCGGAUGCCCCACGCCUGGACACGAUGUCUGGAAGCACUACUGGUCGGCUGGUAGCCUGGGUGGUGCCAGAUGUGACGUACUCA